UAGGGAAUCUUCCGCAAUGGACGAAAGUCUGACGGAGCAACGCCGCGUGAGUGAAGAAGGAUUUCGGUUCGUAAAACUCUGUUGUUAGGGAAGAAAAAAUGUAUAGUAACUAUAUACAAAAGAGACGGUACCUAACCAGAAAGCCACGGCUAACUACGUGCCAGCAGCCGCGGUAAUACGUAGGUGGCAUGCGUUGUCCGGAAUUAUUGGGCGUAAAGCGCGCGCAGGUGGUUUAGAAAGUCUGAUGUGAAAGCCCACGGCUCAACCGUGGAGGGUCAUUGGAAACUAAUAAACUUGAGUGCAGGAGAGAAAAGUGGAAUUCCUAGUGUAGCGGUGAAAUGCGUAGAGAUUAGGAGGAACACCGGUGGCGAAAGCGGCUUUUUGGCCUGCAACUGACACUGAGGCGCGAAAGCGUGGGGAGCAAACAGG
rnacentral:rRNA from 1 species